UUCUUAUCAAGAGAGGUUAAGGGACUGGCCCUACGAAACCUCAGCAACCAGUUAUGAUGUCGUUCAUAACAUGGUGCUAAUUCCAGCAAGUAUCAGACUUGAUAGAUAAGAA
rnacentral:ncRNA from 2 species